GAAGAGGAGUCGCCCUGUUGGUCUAGGCCAGGGAUCGAUUCCCCUCAAGCGCGAAAGUGCUAGUCAUUUCUAUUUGGCCAAGGGCUUUCACCUGGUCUUCUCCGGACCCUGGAGGGAUUAAGGGCUUCGGCCCCGAACCUCCUGGUUAUCAAAAAAAAAAAAAAAAAAAAAACCUACUAUUAGGCUGAUUCUCAAUAGAGCCGAAUGAAGAAAUUGGCUUAUGGUACACAUUACUAUUUUAAUAGAUAGUUAAUGUUAGAUCAAAUUUUCUAUUUUUUUUAAAAUACUCAAAACUUGUAUGUUAUAAGAAUCAUAUGAUGUAUAUGGAAGUAAUGUUUUAUACCUAUACCUGAACUUUAGCAGCUUGUUUAAUAAGUAGUUUUUUUUUCGGUAAACACGAUUGUUUCAUUCUUAACAUGACAAUAUUGGACUGCCUGCUGUACUAAUUAACAAAAUGUCAGUUUGAUUUAUUACAUAAGGUCUUUGAUAUGGUUAUUUAUGACAGAUGAUUAUAAACGUCUAUAAUAUCAAACCUGUAUGAUGAAAUAAACUUUUGUGAAAUCAUAAGCUUUACAUUAACACUUAACAAACAAACAAAAAACGAUGUAGCCCACAAUCAAGUAAUAUUCUAAAGGAAUAUGCUUUGGGAUCAUGCUUAGUAUUUAUAUUUUUAAUUCCAGACAUGUAUAAGGCUACCAUGCAUAUAGUAUUUUUAAAAAGAGAUAAAUAGUAAAAAGCAUUUGAAACUAGAGAUAUAAUCAUAGAAGACUAAAGUUACUUUAAACACAAACUUUGAUCCAUUAACCUUGGACCACAAGUUGGUAGUGGGUUUUAAACAUGAAAAGGUAUUUCCAAUCCUUAUGUUUAUGGUUACAGGAUGUGAUUUAGAUAUAAAAAUAUGUGGAUGUAUGGAAAUGGCAAAUUUUUUUCCUUUGGUUGUAAUUUACCCAUUAUUCUAAUAAUUCGAGCCUAAAAAAAUCAUUUAUGCCAAAAGAUAGACGAAUAUAUGAGAAAUUAUAAACUCUUUGCCGUUUUCAUUUUGUAAGAACGCCGUGUUGUUCAACAAGUGCAAGCUCAAAACAACAACACAAUGUAAGAUUAGAGAACACGACAUCAAAACUUUUCCAACAAGAAAACGGCAAAACUAAUAGUAUCUUUUAAAUCACGGAAGCAAGUGAUGUGGUAGUGUAUUAAGUAUUAACCGGUAUUUCUCAUUCCUGCAGCGAUACCAUUAAUUGUGAUAAGCAAAGCAUCUCUAAGCUUAUUAUUAUCUUCAUCACGUCUUAGCCUCUUAAGAAUUUCAACUUGUAACAUGUUCAUUGCGUUGAGAUACGGAAGUCUACUCUCAAUGAGUUUCUUCAAGCUCUUAUUGUUCUGCAAGAGUUUCUCGUGGCCACUUAUCACAAGAACGUACUUCUCAGUAGUCAUUAGUUCCUUUCUUAGUUCAUUGCCAAGUCCUCUUCUUUUCUCAGACACAAGUUGUUCGUCGUAGUGUUUGGUCAUGGGGAUGUCAGCUUUAGCUAACACCAUCUCUAUAAGUUCAAGGGUGGACUGAAAAAAUGGCCAUUCUUUAUACAUCUCUUGAAGAUCAUCCGCAUGACCCUUCUCAGAGACUCCCUUUAAGCCAGCCCCUACACCAAGCCAAGCUGGAAGAACAAAUCUUGUUUGAGUCCAAGCAAAGACCCAAGGGAUAGCUCGGAGAUGACCUAUGCCGCUAGAGCUCUUUCUUCGCGUUGGUCGGCUUCCUAUAUUGAGGAAACCGAGUUCUGCUUGAGGUGUUGACUCAUGAAAAUAAGAUAGGAACUCUGGGUUCUCAUACACUGUGCUUCUAUAGUGUUGGCAACUGAUUGUAGAGAUUUCUUCCAUUAGGUUUCGCCAUUUUUCCUCUCGAGGUGGCUGAGGAGGUUUUAAGGUAGCAAGUAGAACAGCGGUUGUGUAUACCUCUAGUUGCCUAACAGCCGUUUGUGGUAUCCCAAACUUAGCUUGAACCAUCUCACCUUGCUCAGUUGAACGCAAAGAGCCCUGCUCAAACCAAUUCAAUCAUUUAUAUUUAGCUUUUAUUGCACUAUUAACAUAGUGAUAGCAUUAUAUAGUACAAAUCAAUAAUACAAUCAUUAAUAUAUUUUUUUUAAAUGAUCUAUCAUAAAAUAGUUUGGAAACUGACCAUUACAGAGCCUGGUGGUUGGGACUGUAUAGCGAGAUAAGUCGGACCACCACCACGACCAAUGCUUCCUCCUCGUCCAUGAAAUAAUGUGAUUUUGAUUCCAAAUUCAUUACAAGCAGCCACAACAUUUUCUUGUGCUUUGUAGAGUUCCCAUGCUGCUGUAAAACGUCCAGCAUCUUUUCCAGAAUCAGAGUAUCCAACCAUUACCUACAAGUAAAAUUGUUACAAGUUCUUAGAGGCUCCCUUUGAUGUUAAAAUGUUUGCAUACUUCACGCGUAACGUACCUCUUGGUGACCGUUGUGGUUCUUUUGGACGUGUUCCCUAUACCAAUCGAUUGAGAGCAAUUUCCUUAUCGAAGGACCAGCGGCUCUUAAAUCAUUCACCGUUUCAAAAAGAGGUACCACUCGUAGCCUAUUCAAAUAAAUAGAUAGUAGUAAGAGUUUUUCAGGCUACUCAAAAUGUUACUCAUGUAUGUAAUAAUAAUAAAGUGAUUGCUAUAAAUAAGUAUGAAACAAUGUGACAUUUUAGUAAGAUUACUCACGUUCCACCGGGACAUGGUUUUCCAUGUUCGCUAGUUAUAGCAAGUCGAGCAUCCUUUUGAAGAAGCUCCACAGCAAGGACAUCACUUGCCUGCAAGUAGUAAACAAAUAAAUGUCAUUUUUUUCUUUGUGUAUGAAAAUGUGGAAAAUCGUCACGCAUAGCUACGUUUUAAUUUGGAGAAAUCAUACAUUAGAAGCCAUAGAAAUAACAUAAGCUCCAAGUGAUUCACUUCCAAGCUCCGCAGCGACUCGGAAUGUGUCCAAUACUUCUUUGACGUCAGGACCAACCUACAUAAAUAAAAACAGAUAAAUAAAUAAAACUUAACAACGACUAUCAUAUCAUCAUAUUGUUCUUUUCUUGUAGUAUACGCAAUAGAUAUUUCAUUAUGACCUUAAUACAUGGAGGAACAAGAGGUCGUUUCCCUUUUAGUUCUCUGGUCAAAAAUUCUAAUUUUUUCUCUUCAUCCCAUUCACUAUAAGUACCCAUAUCCAAGUAUGUUGUAAUUGCAUCCAAUGCUUCAGAAUGUCUUGCAGAUUCCUAGUAAUUGAAUCACUCAUAAAUUAGAGAAAUGUAUCACUGCGUAAGAGGACCGAGACAUUAGGAUUAUAGGAAAAAAAUUCACCUGGCGUAAAUCAAGUUUCACCAAAACCAUUCCAAAGGUAGAAACUCUACGGAUGAGAUCAGCAAGUCGUCCAUCAGCUAGUACACUAGCACCCGAUGAUUGCUGAGAAAAAUGAAUGAUGUUAGAUUAAAAGUUCAUGGUUAUUUUAUGGGAACACCAUUUUCACAUGGGAUACAGAUUUUUACUAGAGAUUCGUAGCAGAGGAGCAAUGGUUCCAGAAGUUGAUCUGAUUUUUCAUAGGAGUUUAAAGGGUCAUACUCACAAGGAAGACCCUCAAUUAGAAGUUCAAGAAGUCUUCUUGUCUUCACAAGCUAUGAUCACAAACCAUUAAUUUUGAAAGCACUUAAUUAGUUGUGUGAUGCUAAGUUUAAAUCUUUAUAUUAUCUUGAUUAAUUAAUAAGUUUAGGAUCUUUACCUUUUCUUUUACUUCCCCAAGAACAAUACGAUAAGGAGCACUUCCAGCUCGUUUAAGUGGAGGUGGUUCUAGUAGCUUUUGGAAACUAGUCUUCCCAACCUGAGAUUCCUCAAAUAGUUUCCUCUGUAAAAGAAGUUGAGAAGUAGAUGAGAAAGAACCUCGAGAAGUAAGACCGGACUGCGAACCAUUGUCAGUUUUCUCCCAGUUGCUUUCCGGAAAGUCUUGUUCAUUCUGCUUCUAUAUAAACAAAAAAUUGAAGAAAAAAUUAUCAAAAGAAUUUUCAAGAAUGGAGCAAUUCAGCAAAUUUUGUUUCAUGUAUAUGUCAAGCAUAUUUAAAGGUUUUCCUUUACCUGAAGAUUGGGUGGCAUAUAAUCUGUCGUCGCAAUUUCGAAUUUGGUAUGUCGUGAUUCACCAAAGUCUGCAAUGGGAUGGGAUAUAAAACAUGCACAGUUUUGAAAUAUUUGCCAUGCACAGUUUAGAAAUCGUUUUACCAAUGCAAGAAGGAAGGUGAGCUCUAGCUGGAAGUUGUGUUGGCAAGGAUGAUGAACUUUGUUGCUUUUGGAAAUUUGAUUGGCCUCUAUCAUAAUCUUUUUCAGAAUUUUCUGAGGGGGGAAAAAACAUCAACUUUUAAGAUUGUAGAAAAAAAAAAAAAUUAUGAAUGAAGAAGUAAAAAUUUAAUAGAAGUUGAAGCAUAUAUAUACCCUUUUCAAGAAUUUCAUCUGCUAAUCUUGAAAACCUAUCACUGCAUCGAUCCGUAGAUAGUUCAAAUCUUAAGCUAUCAACCUCUCUUAUGUAUAGAUCGAUAGCCAUCCAUCUAGACAAGAGAGAUACUUCUUUCGUGACCUGGACAAAUGAUAUCACAACAUUGAAUUGUGUGUUAUCCAGAGAAUAUGUGACAAACAAAUUUUCUGAUUGCAAUGUUAAAGAUUUUUUUCCAUGAAAAAAUAAAUAUUAAGAAUCCCAUACUACAAGUGAGAUGUGACCUAGAGUAAUAUAUAACGACCAUGAACAACUUUAUUCAUUACCGGUUGGUUUUGAGUUCAAAGUUCGAACCGUAAAAUAUCAAAAGACUAACCUUUGCCGUGACAUUUGGGUUUCCAUCUCUAUCACCUCCCAUCCAAGAACCAAAUUUUAUAGGAGUGCAUGUUAGUGGAAGUGGCUUCCCUGUGAACUAACCAAGAAAAUACAAAAUAUCAAUACUAUAUAUCUUAAGGUAAAGUAUAACUAUUAUUCAUAUUUUUCCCAAUAUAUAUUCUAGAAAUCUAAAGGUAAAAUAAUACCUUCUUCAAGGAAGUGCUGACACGACGCAGGUAAUGUGGUACAGCUUUCCAAAGGGAUUGCUCCACAAUGUUCAGACCUAAUGCAUUAAAAAAGUUUUUGAAAAAAUAGUUUGCCAAAUCAAAAUUUCUAGACUUUACAAAGUAGAUUAUUUAACGUACCAGCUCUAGCUUCAUCAACUGGAGUAGGUUUCUGACGUCUAAGCUCAUCAGUUUGCCAUAGUGAAGUUAUCUCUCUAACCUUUAAAGUAUUAAGUAAACUCUUAGUUUAUUAGUUAUACUGCUGAGAAAAUUUAUAUGGAAGAUAUUGAGGUGAAGAGUACCAAAUCUUCAAUGAGGGUUUCGCGAUCUUCAAGGCUGAGAUCUGAUCUGGUGUUAUAUUCUAGAAGAUGCUGCAAGAAGCAAAUAAUUUUCAACUCUCAAGUAAAAUUAAAGAUAGAGAUAUAAUCCAUAAAUAUGUUAACAUCAUUAGAACCAACUUACAGCAAUUCUAAGAUGCUUGUACUGCAAGGUUCUUCGAUUAAUUUGAGUAGGAUGAGCAGUAAGAACAAUUUCGACCUCCUAAAGUGCGAUAAACAAUCAAAUAUCAAAUUGAGAAAACGACACUCAGAUACGACCUAUGUGUUAGAUAAAACAUAUUGGAACCGUUUCGUUUUCUAUAAUGAUACAAUAUGAAGUAGCUAGACCUGUUUGCAAACAGUAUUGUAAAGUUCCUCUGGAGAAAUUCCACUUUGCAAUAGCUGGCUGAAUAUAUCAUCACAAGAUCUAGCAAGUUGUGUAACGUUAUGGACUUUAUGCAUUCUGAAAAAAAAAAUGUUUAUAUUUAGAAGCAAUACCAUGCAUGUUUAUUAUUAAUUGUAAAUAUUUUUGUUGUAAUGUGUUUUAUAGAAAAUAUUAUGACCUGUGAUGAGUGUCUGCAAUGCCCAUUAAGUUAAGAGAAUGAGUGAAUGUACGAGCCAAGGUUAAGGCUUCCUCUAGUGGCAUUUUGGAUAUCUCACUAGUCAAUUGCUUCUCCAAAAGGUUUGCGGUAUCCUCAAUACCAGCCAUUCGCAAAUUUAACGCACUCUGAAACGUUUACAACCAUAGAAUAAUUAAGUUUUCGAUAAGUGGAUUGAUCUAUAUCUCUUAUUAAUACGAUAGUAGGAUGUGAGAUUCCUAAAAGAUCUACGCAGAUGAAAAAAUUGGACGAGUAAUAGAUGAAUUUUUAAAGCUUAUCGAAGCGAAUAGAUAGAAAAUGAAACCUGAGCAAGAAUCCGAAUGCGUUCAACUUUUUCCAUGAAUGGGUUGCCGACUUCCCUUUGUAACACGUCAUGGAAGAGACUGCCGAGCAAUUUGCAGUCGUCUUCGAAGCUUUGGAAUGAGAUUUCCUCCGCGAUAUCAUCUGUCGUGUCCGUCAUUGUAUCGGUGAACAGAGUGAAGGAAUGAAUAUUGAAUAAUGGGAGUUCUAGUGAUCAAAGUUAAGUAAUUCUAAAUGUGACUUAUGGUUAACUAUGGGACUUACUAUUUAUGGUGGUCAAUGCAGUAAAUUAUGGGCCUAGUUAAAAUUUGUGGUGUUACUUCUCUUUCCCGUAAAAAUUUGGGGCCUAUUCUUCUUCAUUUCCAAACUUUGAUUUUGUACUAUUUCUCCUCCAAACAAGUAAAUAACUAGAUAGUAAAAAGGAAGGAAAUUCUACAAAAAUUUACGGAGGAAUAACGGAUUUUAAUUAACUAACUUUGUUUUAUCAUUUUACUUGAAUGCCUUCUUUAUAUCUCGGACUCGAAUUAUCAAUAUCAUGCUUCCACAUGGGUCAUGCUAAUCUUCUUUCCAAUUUGAUCGAAUGUACCCAUAGGGAUCCUAAGUGACAUCUUUUGCUGAUUAUUAUAUUAAGAGACAUAUAUGAUUCAUCAUUAUAUUUGCUAAGUUUUACUAGCUAACAAAUGGCUAAAUAUCUGUUUUAGUUAUUUACAUAAUCGUUCUCAUUAUAGCAACACCAUAACAUACAUCAUCUUAGUUUUUCAUAAGAAGAUGAAGCUCGUAGUGGACAAUUUAGACUUUAAAUUUUGUAUACUCAUUUUGCUUAUCCAAGUCCUGUGUUCUUCAAUCCAUUUUUGUAGUAAACAAUUUAACAACAAAUGAAGUGAGAGGAAAGACCGUUCGAGAAUAUCAAUAAAUAAAUAAAAAAGUGAAAACAAGUGCAAUGGAAAAAGCAAAGAUAUUUGUGUAAGCCAAUGACACCGACACAUUUGGACCAAACGUAAAUAAAUUGCAGAAGCAAUACGACACCGUUUAAACCCAAAUAAGUCAACAAAAGUAAAACACGACAAGAAAGGGUUUCACUGUGUUCGGCAAUAAUGGCGACAGAAGAAGCGAUACCAAGAGUCGCCGUCAUCGUUUUCAUUCUCAACGGAAACUCAAUCUUAUUAGGUCGCCGCCGUUCCUCAAUCGGAAACUCCACUUUCGCUCUUCCCGGUGGCCACCUCGAAUUCGGUCUCUUUCCUCUCUCUCCUCUCUCUUUAUUUCAACCAAAUCUUGAUUUGAGCUAAUCUUUGUUCUUUAAGCAGGUGAGAGCUUUGAAGAAUGUGCAGCGAGAGAAGUAAUGGAGGAAACAGGUCUAAAGAUUGAAAAGAUGAAGCUUUUGACUGUGACAAACAAUGUAUUCAAAGAAGCACCAAAGCCAGCACACUACG
rnacentral:lncRNA from 1 species